rnacentral:rRNA from 1 species
GGAAUAUUGGUCAAUGGACGCAGGUCUGAACCAGCCAUGCCGCGUGCAGGAAGACGGCCCUCUGGGUUGUAAACUGCUUUUGUACGGGAAGAAACCCUCUUUCGUGAAAGAGGCUGACGGUACCGUAAGAAUAAGGAUCGGCUAACCCCGCGCCAGCAUCCGCGGUAAUACGGAGGAUCCAAGCGUUAUCCGGAUUUAUUGGGUUUAAAGGGUGCGUAGGCGGAAUAUUAAGUCAGUGGUGAAAGCCUGAAGCUUAACUUCAGAACUGCCAUUGAUACUGAUGUUCUUGAAUAUAGUUGAGGUGGGCGGAAUGUGUCAUGUAGCGGUGAAAUGCUUAGAUAUGACACAGAACACCGAUUGCGAAGGCAGCUCGCUAAACUAUCAUUGACGCUGAGGCACGAAAGCGUGGGGAUCAAAC